UUAAGCGACUAAGCGUACACGGUGGAUGCCCUGGCAGUCAGAGGCGAUGAAGGACGUGCUAAUCUGCGAAAAGCGUCGGUAAGGUGAUAUGAACCGUUAUAACCGGCGAUGUCCGAAUGGGGAAACCCAGUGCAAUUCGUUGCACUAUCGUUAACUGAAUACAUAGGUUAACGAGGCGAACCGGGGGAACUGAAACAUCUAAGUACCCCGAGGAAAAGAAAUCAACCGAGAUUCCCCCAGUAGCGGCGAGCGAACGGGGAGCAGCCCAGAGUCUGAAUCAGCUUGUGUGUUAGUGGAACGGUCUGGAAAGUCCGACGGUACAGGGUGAUAGUCCCGUACACCAAAAUGCACAGGCUGUGAACUCGAAGAGUAGGGCGGGACACGUGGUAUCCUGUCUGAAUAUGGGGGGACCAUCCUCCAAGGCUAAAUACUCCUGACUGACCGAUAGUGAACCAGUACCGUGAGGGAAAGGCGAAAAGAACCCCGGCGAGGGGAGUGAAAAAGAACCUGAAACCGUGUACGUACAAGCAGUGGGAGCACCUUCGGGUGUGACUGCGUACCUUUUGUAUAAUGGGUCAGCGACUUAUAUUCUGUAGCAAGGUUAACCGUAUAGGGGAGCCGCAGGGAAACCGAGUCUUAACUGGGCGUUAAGUUGCAGGGUAUAGACCCGAAACCCGGUGAUCUAGCCAUGGGCAGGUUGAAGGUUGGGUAACACUAACUGGAGGACCGAACCGACUAAUGUUGAAAAAUUAGCGGAUGACUUGUGGCUGGGGGUGAAAGGCCAAUCAAACCGGGAGAUAGCUGGUUCUCCCCGAAAGCUAUUUAGGUAGCGCCUCGUGAAUUCAUCUUCGGGGGUAGAGCACUGUUUCGGCUAGGGGGUCAUCCCGACUUACCAACCCGAUGCAAACUACGAAUACCGAAGAAUGUUAUCACGGGAGACACACGGCGGGUGCUAACGUCCGUCGUGAAGAGGGAAACAACCCAGACCGCCAGCUAAGGUCCCAAAGUCAUGGUUAAGUGGGAAACGAUGUGGGAAGGCACAGACAGCCAGGAUGUUGGCUUAGAAGCAGCCAUCAUUUAAAGAAAGCGUAAUAGCUCACUGGUCGAGUCGGCCUGCGCGGAAGAUGUAACGGGGCUAAACCAUGCACCGAAGCUGCGGCAGCGACACUAUGUGUUGUUGGGUAGGGGAGCGUUCUGUAAGCCUGCGAAGGUGACCUGUGAGGGUUGCUGGAGGUAUCAGAAGUGCGAAUGCUGACAUAAGUAACGAUAAAGCGGGUGAAAAGCCCGCUCGCCGGAAGACCAAGGGUUCCUGUCCAACGUUAAUCGGGGCAGGGUGAGUCGACCCCUAAGGCGAGGCCGAAAGGCGUAGUCGAUGGGAAACAGGUUAAUAUUCCUGUACUUGGUGUUACUGCGAAGGGGGGACGGAGAAGGCUAUGUUAGCCGGGCGACGGUUGUCCCGGUUUAAGCAUGUAGGCUGGUUAUCCAGGCAAAUCCGGAUAAUCAAGGCUGAGGUGUGAUGACGAGGCACUACGGUGCUGAAGUAACAAAUGCCCUGCUUCCAGGAAAAGCCUCUAAGCAUCAGGUAACAUCAAAUCGUACCCCAAACCGACACAGGUGGUCAGGUAGAGAAUACCAAGGCGCUUGAGAGAACUCGGGUGAAGGAACUAGGCAAAAUGGUGCCGUAACUUCGGGAGAAGGCACGCUGGUGUGUAGGUGAAGUCCCUGCGGAUGGAGCUGAGACCAGUCGAAGAUACCAGCUGGCUGCAACUGUUUAUUAAAAACACAGCACUGUGCAAACACGAAAGUGGACGUAUACGGUGUGACGCCUGCCCGGUGCCGGAAGGUUAAUUGAUGGGGUUAUCCGUAAGGAGAAGCUCUUGAUCGAAGCCCCGGUAAACGGCGGCCGUAACUAUAACGGUCCUAAGGUAGCGAAAUUCCUUGUCGGGUAAGUUCCGACCUGCACGAAUGGCGUAAUGAUGGCCAGGCUGUCUCCACCCGAGACUCAGUGAAAUUGAACUCGCUGUGAAGAUGCAGUGUACCCGCGGCAAGACGGAAAGACCCCGUGAACCUUUACUAUAGCUUGACACUGAACAUUGAGCCUUGAUGUGUAGGAUAGGUGGGAGGCUUUGAAGCGUGGACGCCAGUCUGCGUGGAGCCAACCUUGAAAUACCACCCUUUAAUGUUUGAUGUUCUAACGUUGGCCCCUGACCGGGGUUGCGGACAGUGUCUGGUGGGUAGUUUGACUGGGGCGGUCUCCUCCCAAAGCGUAACGGAGGAGCACGAAGGUUAGCUAAUCCUGGUCGGACAUCAGGAGGUUAGUGCAAUGGCAUAAGCUAGCUUGACUGCGAGCGUGACGGCGCGAGCAGGUGCGAAAGCAGGUCAUAGUGAUCCGGUGGUUCUGAAUGGAAGGGCCAUCGCUCAACGGAUAAAAGGUACUCCGGGGAUAACAGGCUGAUACCGCCCAAGAGUUCAUAUCGACGGCGGUGUUUGGCACCUCGAUGUCGGCUCAUCACAUCCUGGGGCUGAAGUAGGUCCCAAGGGUAUGGCUGUUCGCCAUUUAAAGUGGUACGCGAGCUGGGUUUAGAACGUCGUGAGACAGUUCGGUCCCUAUCUGCCGUGGGCGCUGGAGAAUUGAGGGGGGCUGCUCCUAGUACGAGAGGACCGGAGUGGACGCAUCACUGGUGUUCGGGUUGUCAUGCCAAUGGCACUGCCCGGUAGCUAAAUGCGGAAGAGAUAAGUGCUGAAAGCAUCUAAGCACGAAACUUGCCCCGAGAUGAGUUCUCCCUGAGACUUUAAGUCUCCUGAAGGAACGUUAAAGACGAUGACGUUGAUAGGCCGGGUGUGUAAGCGCAGCGAUGCGUUGAGCUAACCGGUACUAAUGAACCGUGAGGCUUAACCU
rnacentral:rRNA from 1 species